CCCAGACUCCUACGGGAGGCAGCAGUGGGGAAUAUUGCACAAUGGGGGAAACCCUGAUGCAGCGACGCCGCGUGAAGGAAGAAGUAUUUCGGUAUGUAAACUUCUAUCAGCAGGGAAGAAAAUGACGGUACCUGACUAAGAAGCCCCGGCUAACUACGUGCCAGCAGCCGCGGUAAUACGUAGGGGGCAAGCGUUAUCCGGAUUUACUGGGUGUAAAGGGAGCGUAGGCGGUUUAGCAAGUCAGAAGUGAAAGCCCGGGGCUCAACUCCGGGACUGCUUUUGAAACUGUUGAACUAGAUUGCAGGAGAGGUAAGUGGAAUUCCUAGUGUAGCGGUGAAAUACGUAGAUAUUAGGAGGAACACCAGUGGCGAAGGCGGCUUACUGGACUGUAAAUGACGCUGAGGCUCGAAAGCGUGGGGAGCAAACAGGAUUAGAUACCCUGGUAUUA
rnacentral:rRNA from 1 species